rnacentral:rRNA from 1 species
CAGCCGCCGCGGGAAAACGAAGGGGGCUAGCGUUGUCCGGAUUUACUGGGCGUAAAGCGCACGUAGGCGGAUCGAUCAGUCAGGGGUGAAAUCCUGGAGCUCAACUCCAGAACUGCCUUUGAUACUGUCGAUCUCGAGUCCGGAAGAGGUGAGUGGAACUCCUAGUGUAGAGGUGGAAUUCGUAGAUAUUAGGAAGAACACCAGUGGCGAAGGCGGCUCACUGAUCCGGUACUGACGCUGAGGUGCGAAAGCGUGGGGAGCAAACAGGAUUAGAUACCCGCGUAGUCCCUGUCUCUUAUAC